ensembl:lncRNA
UCUGUGGUUGGUAUACUAGACAUGUUUUUUACAAAACUUCAAUGCACUGUCUGUGGCAUAUGUAUUUUGGACUUUGCUCUCUACUAAUGCAGAUUGUAUGCCCACAACAUAAAGACUGCUAACAGGAUUGCUGACAUGACUGAGGGAGUAUCUAAUGUGUACCAUAUGAGCCUGGCUACUUCAGAUUUGGGUCGUCUCACAAAGAUGUCUGAAAUGGACCUUAAUAAAGCUGAGGCAGAACCUGUUUCAAAGAAGGGCUCCCAUUUUGAGAGUUCAGACCCACCUCUGGGUGUUUGUACCUCCAUGAUAAACACAAGACCAAUGGAGGCUACAUCCAGCUGUCAGGAUGAAGGCCGGUCCACAGCACAGAGCCCCAUACAGCUGGAAAAGCUACACCCAUCACCACCCAGCCAUGUGUCUUUAAAAAGUGAUUGGUCAAUACAACAGCCACUGAACUUCACAGAUACGUCUUUUUCUUCUGGAUAUGGCCCCAUACAGCUGGAAAAGCCACACCCAUCACCACCCAGCCAUGUGUCUUUAAAAAGUGAUUGGUCAAUAGAACAGCCACUGAACUUCACAGAUACGUCUUUUUCUUCUGGAUAUGGGACCAAUCAAAACGCCGAGCAGAGAAUUGACCAGAGCAUCUGUUUGAGUACUAGUAAGAUACCAGUAAGCUCUGAAAUGUAA